rnacentral:rRNA from 1 species
GACAGAGGGUGCAAACGUUGUUCGGAAUUACUGGGCGUAAAGCGCGUGUAGGCUGCUUCGCAAGUCGGAUGUGAAAUCUCGGGGCUUAACUCCGAAACUGCAUUCGAUACUGCCGUGCUUGAGGACUGGAGAGGAGACUGGAAUUUACGGUGUAGCGGUGAAAUGCGUAGAUAUCGUAAGGAAGACCAGUGGCGAAGGCGGGUCUCUGGACAGUUCCUGACGCUGAGGCACGAAGGCCAGGGGAGCAAACGGG